UACAGAGGUGGCAAGCGUUGUUCGGAAUUACUGGGCGUAAAGGGCGCGUAGGCGGCCAUCUAAGUCAGACGUGAAAUCCCCCGGCUUAACCUGGGAACUGCCUUUGAUACUGAAGAUCUUGAGUUCGGGAGAGGUGAGUGGAACUGCGAGUGUAGAGGUGAAAUUCGUAGAUAUUCGCAAGAACACCAGUGGCGAAGGCGGCUCACUGGCCCGAUACUGACGCUGAGGCACGAAAGCGUGGGGAGCAAACAGG
rnacentral:rRNA from 1 species